CCUACGGGUGGCAGCAGUGAGGAAUAUUGGUCAAUGGACGAGAGUCUGAACCAGCCAAGUAGCGUGAAGGAUGACUGCCCUAUGGGUUGUAAACUUCUUUUAUAUGGGAAUAAAAUGUUCCACGUGUGUGAUUUUGUAUUUACCAUAUGAAUAAGGAUCGGCUAACUCCGUUCAAUCCGCCGCGUUAAUACGGAGGAUCCGAGCGUUAUCCGGAUUUAUUGGGUUUAAAGGGAGCGUAGGUGGAUUGUUAAGUUAGUUGGUAAAUUUUUCGGCUCAACCGGAAAAUUGCAUGUGAAACUGGCAGUCUUGAGUACAGUAGAGGAGGGCGGAAUUCGUGGUGGAGCGGUGAAAUGCUUAGAUAUCACGAAGAACUCCGAUUGCGAAGGCAGUUCACUGGACUGCAACUGACACUGAGGCUCGAAAGUGUGGGUAUCAAACAGGAUUAGAUACCCGAGUAGUC
rnacentral:rRNA from 1 species